UACGGGGGGGGGCAAGCGUUGUUCGGAAUUACUGGGCGUAAAGGGCUCGUAGGCGGCCAACUAAGUCAGACGUGAAAUCCCUCGGCUUAACCGGGGAACUGCAUCUGAUACUGGAUGGCUUGAGUUCGGGAGAGGGAUGCGGAAUUCCAGGUGUAGCGGUGAAAUGCGCAGAUAUCAGGAGGAACACCGAUGGCGAAGGCAGGUCUCUGGGCCACUACUGACGCUGAGAAGCGAAAGCAUGGGGGAGCGAACAGG
rnacentral:rRNA from 1 species